rnacentral:rRNA from 1 species
AUGAACGCUAGCUACAGGCUUAACACAUGCAAGUCGAGGGGCAGCAUGGUCUUAGCUUGCUAAGGCCGAUGGCGACCGGCGCACGGGUGAGUAACACGUAUCCAACCUGCCGUCUACUCUUGGACAGCCUUCUGAAAGGAAGAUUAAUACAAGAUGGCAUCAUGAGUCCGCAUGUUCACAUGAUUAAAGGUAUUCCGGUAGACGAUGGGGAUGCGUUCCAUUAGAUAGUAGGCGGGGUAACGGCCCACCUAGUCUUCGAUGGAUAGGGGUUCUGAGAGGAAGGUCCCCCACAUUGGAACUGAGACACGGUCCAAACUCCUACGGGAGGCAGCAGUGAGGAAUAUUGGUCAAUGGGCGAGAGCCUGAACCAGCCAAGUAGCGUGAAGGAUGACUGCCCUAUGGGUUGUAAACUUCUUUUAUAAAGGAAUAAAGUCGGGUAUGGAUACCCGUUUGCAUGUACUUUAUGAAUAAGGAUCGGCUAACUCCGUGCCAGCAGCCGCGGUAAUACGGAGGAUCCGAGCGUUAUCCGGAUUUAUUGGGUUUAAAGGGAGCGUAGAUGGAUGUUUAAGUCAGUUGUGAAAGUUUGCGGCUCAACCGUAAAAUUGCAGUUGAUACUGGAUAUCUUGAGUGCAGUUGAGGCAGGCGGAAUUCGUGGUGUAGCGGUGAAAUGCUUAGAUAUCACGAAGAACUCCGAUUGCGAAGGCAGCCUGCUAAGCUGCAACUGACAUUGAGGCUCGAAAGUGUGGGUAUCAAACAGGAUUAGAUACCCUGGUAGUCCACACGGUAAACGAUGAAUACUCGCUGUUUGCGAUAUACGGCAAGCGGCCAAGCGAAAGCGUUAAGUAUUCCACCUGGGGAGUACGUUCGCAAGAAUGAAACUCAAAGGAAUUGACGGGGGCCCGCACAAGCGGAGGAACAUGUGGUUUAAUUCGAUGAUACGCGAGGAACCUUACCCGGGCUUAAAUUGCAGAUGAAUUACGGUGAAAGCCGUAAGCCGCAAGGCAUCUGUGAAGGUGCUGCAUGGUUGUCGUCAGCUCGUGCCGUGAGGUGUCGGCUUAAGUGCCAUAACGAGCGCAACCCUUAUCGAUAGUUACUAGCAGGUUAUGCUGAGGACUCUAUUGAGACUGCCGUCGUAAGAUGUGAGGAAGGUGGGGAUGACGUCAAAUCAGCACGGCCCUUACGUCCGGGGCUACACACGUGUUACAAUGGGGGGUACAGAGGGCCGCUACCACGCGAGUGGAUGCCAAUCCCCAAAACCUCUCUCAGUUCGGACUGGAGUCUGCAACCCGACUCCACGAAGCUGGAUUCGCUAGUAAUCGCGCAUCAGCCACGGCGCGGUGAAUACGUUCCCGGGCCUUGUACACACCGCCCGUCAAGCCAUGGGAGCCGGGGGUACCUGAAGUGCGUAACCGCGAGGAGCGCCCUAGGGUAAAACUGGUGACUGGGGCU